rnacentral:tRNA from 1 species
ACCUCGAUAGUUUAAAGGCUUAGAACGCUUGUAUGGAAUACAAGAGAUCUGGAUUCGAGUCCCGACCGAGAUA